rnacentral:rRNA from 1 species
AACCUUUACACUGCACGACAGUGCGGUAGGGGGACUCCGAGUGCGAGGGCAUAUAGUCCUCGCUUUUCUGUACCGUAAGGUGGUACAGGAACAAGUGCUGGGCAAGACCGGUGCCAGCCGCCGCGGUAAUACCGGCAGCACGAGUGAUGGCCGCUAUUAUUGGGCCUAAAGCGUCCGUAGCUGGCCAGUCAAGUCCGUUGGGAAAUCGGCGUGCCUAACACGUCGGCGUCCAGCGGAAACUGUCUGGCUUGGGACCGGAAGACCCGAGGGGUACGUCCGGGGUAGGAGUGAAAUCCCGUAAUCCUGGACGGACCGCCGGUGGCGAAAGCGCCUCGGGAAGACGGAUCCGACAGUGAGGGACGAAAGCUGGGGUCUCGAACCGGAUUAGAUACCCGGGUAGUCCCAGCCGUAAACGAUGCUCGCUAGGUGUGGCGCAGGCUACGAGCCUGCGCUGUGCCGUAGGGAAGCCGUGAAGCGAGCCGCCUGGGAAGUACGUCUGCAAGGAUGAAACUUAA